CAGUAGCCGCGGUAAUACAGAGGGUGCAAGCGUUAAUCGGAAUUACUGGGCGUAAAGCGCGCGUAGGUGGUUUGUUAAGUUGGAUGUGAAAGCCCCGGGCUCAACCUGGGAACUGCAUCCAAAACUGGCAAGCUAGAGUACGGUAGAGGGUGGUGGAAUUUCCUGUGUAUCGGUGAAAUGCGUAGAUAUAGGAAGGAACACCAGUGGCGAAGGCGACCACCUGGACUGAUACUGACACUGAGGUGCGAAAGCGUGGGGAGCAAACAGGAUUAGAUACCCCGGUAGUCCCUGUCUCUUAUAC
rnacentral:rRNA from 1 species